AUACUUACCUGGCAAGGGAGAUCCCAUGAUCAAGAAAAUGGUUCACCGAGCGCGAGGCUUAACCAUCGCACUCCGGUUGUGCUGACUCCUGCGAAUUUCCCAAAUGUGGGAAUCUCAACUGCAUAAUUUCUGGCAGUCUGAAAUGUUUAAGUUGUGCUUUUCCAGC